rnacentral:lncRNA from 1 species
UGAGGUUUGGAAGGAGAUCGUGAACCAACCACUGAUGACUGGUGGUGUGUUCGCCGGAGAUGCUGCUCUUGGUGGUGUGAUGAGUGGCGGUGUGAUUGUGUAUCCGGUUGCUUAUGUGGUGAUUUUUCUUUUUACGGUGGUGAUUUUAUUUUGUAUUUGGUGAUUUUUCAGAUUUGUGGGUGGCGGUAGGGCUGGCAAUUUCGGGUUUCGGGUCGGGUUCGGGUCGGGUUGACAGUCGCGGGUCAAAAAAUUUACCCAACCCGAACCCGACCCGAAAUUUUAAUGGGUCAGAAUACCCAACCCGAACCUGACCCGCACUACCCGCGGGUAACCCGAACCCGACCUGAAAUUUUUAAUGGGUCAGAAUAUUAUUAAAUUUAACUAAUAAAUUUUAUAAAAAUAAUAUAAAUAAUAUAAAUAUAUAUAAUAUUCAUAUUAUAUAUUAAUUUUCGGGUAAUUUCGGGUCAAUUUCGGGUAACCCGAAUUCAACCCGAAAAUGACCCGUUUUUUCUGGGUUGAUUUUGGGUCAACCCGAAUUCGACCCGAACCCGAAAAACCCCAACCCGAAUUCGUAUUUUGCGGGUCGAAUUCGUGUCGGGUUGUCGGGUCGGGUUCAAUAUUGCCACCCCUAGGUGGCGGUGGUGGUUUUUAGAUGGUGGCAGUGUGGUGAUUUUAAUUUUUUGGUGUUGAUUUUUGGUUUUCUAGCGGUG